AGUGAACGCUGGCGGUAGGCCUAACACAUGCAAGUCGAACGGCAGCACAGUAAGAGCUUGCUCUUACGGGUGGCGAGUGGCGGACGGGUGAGGAAUACAUCGGAAUCUACUUUUUCGUGGGGGAUUACGUAGGGAAACUUACGCUAAUACCGCAUAAGAACUACGAGUGAAAGCAGGGGAUCUUCGGACCUUGCGCGAUUGAAUGAGCCGAUGUCGGAUUAGCUAGUUGGCGGGGUAAAGGCCCACCAAGGCGACGAUCCGUAGCCGGUCUGAGAGGAUGAUCAGCCACACUGGAACUGAGACACGGUCCAGACUCCUACGGGAGGCAGCAGUGGGGAAUAUUGGACAAUGGGCGCAAGCCUGAUCCAGCCAUACCGCGUGAGUGAAGAAGGCCUUCGGGUUGUAAAGCCCUUUUGUUGGGAAAGAAAAGCAGCAGGUUAAUACCCCGCUGUUCUGACGGUACCCAAAGAAUAAGCACCGGCUAACUUCGUG
rnacentral:rRNA from 1 species